UACAGAGGGCUCAAGCGUUGUUCGGAUUCAUUGGGCGUAAAGGGUGCGCAGGCGGCCGUGUGUGUCAGGUGUGAAAGCCCGGAGCUUAACUCCGGAAUUGCGCCUGAAACUACAUGGCUAGAGCAUUGGAGAGGGUAGCGGAAUUCACGGUGUAGCAGUGAAAUGCGUAGAUAUCGUGAGGAACACCAGAGGCGAAGGCGGCUACCUGGACAAUUGCUGACGCUCAGGCACGAAAGCGUGGGGAGCAAACAGG
rnacentral:rRNA from 1 species